UUAUAACCCAUUAAUCCGGUUUGUGAAGUUUACAGCUGGCUUCUAAUCCGAAACGGCAUCGUUUCGUUCACUUGAUUCUUUCGAAGAGACGGUGGCGUUAUCAUAUCAGUGACGGACGUCUUCUCCUGGUUGCCGAUCAGAUCCCCGACGGAGGUAACGCUUCCAAUUGUUUUUUAAAACUAAGAGAUGGAUCAAGGAAGGCAAGUGUUUUCAGUUGAUCUCCUCGAGAGAUAUGCCUCGAAGAAUCGUGGCAUGAUCACAUGUAUGGCGGCUGGAAACGAUGUGAUUGUUCUGGGAACAAGCAAAGGAUGGAUCAUCCGCCAUGAUUUUGGAGUUGGGAGUUCUUAUGAUAUUGAUCUCUCUGUUGGUCGAACUGGGGAGCAAUCGAUUCACAAGGUUUUUGUUGACCCUGGUGGUAGCCAUUGCAUUGCUACGGUCACUGGUGUUGGAGGAGCUGAAACUUUUUAUACUCAUGCUAAAUGGCCUAAGCCGCGUGUGUUGAGCCGCUUGAAGGGUUUGUUGGUUAACUCGGUGGCUUGGAACAGGCAACAGAUAACAGAAGUUUCAACUAAGGAGAUCAUCCUGGGCACUCAAGAUGGGCAGCUAUUUGAGAUGGCUGUGGAUGAGAAGGAUAAGAGAGAGAAGUACAUCAAGUUUUUGUUCGAACUAGAAGAACUUCCUGAAGCCUUCAUGGCUUUGCAGAUGGAAACAGCCAACAUAAACAGUGGAAUGAGGUACUAUGUGAUGGCUGUAACUCCCACUCGACUCUACUCGUUCACCGGGAUUGGAACAUUAGAAUCUGUUUUUGCUAGUUAUAAAGAACGUGCAGUUCAUUUUAUGGAACUUCCUGGUGAAAUACCAAACAGUGAACUACAUUUCUUUAUAAAGCAACGAAGAGCGGUGCAUUUUGCGUGGCUUUCAGGAACAGGAAUUUAUCAUGGGGGCCUAAAUUUCGGUGCUCAGCACAGUUACCCAAAUGGUGAUGAGAAUUUUGUGGAGAGCAAAGCCCUCUUGGACUACUCAAAGCUGAGUGAUGGCACUGAAAUAGUCAAGCCUAGUUCGAUGGCACUCUCAGAAUAUCAUUUCUUGCUUCUUAUUGGGAAUAAGGUUAAGGUUGUGAAUCGGAUUAGUGAACAAAUCAUUGAAGAGCUCCAGUUUGAUAUAACGGCAGAUUCAGCUUCGAGGGGCAUAAUUGGACUUUGCAGCGAUGCAUCUGCUGGUCUUUUCUAUGCGUAUGAUCAGAAUUCGAUCUUCCAGGUUUCUGUAAUUGAUGAAGGCAGAGAUAUGUGGAAGGUUUACCUAGACUUGAAAGUUUUUGCUGCAGCUUUAGCAAACUGCCGUGACCCUCUCCAGAGAGACCAAGUUUAUUUAGUUCAGGCAGAAGCUGCAUUUGCCGACAAGGAAUAUCUACGAGCAGCAUCAUUCUAUGCCAAAGUAAUUUCUAGCUCCUUUGUUUUACUUUGCUCUAGCAUGGUAUUAUUCAUUUUGAUGUGGAUACAUGUUUUCUUGCAGAUCAAUUAUGUAAUAUCUUUUGAAGAGGUCACGUUGAAGUUUAUUAGUAUCAACGAACCGGAAGCUUUGAGAACCUUCCUGUUGCGGAAGCUUGAUACUCUUUCAAAGGAUGAUAAAUGCCAAAUUACAAUGAUAUCAACAUGGGCAACUGAGCUGUAUCUGGACAAGAUAAAUCGGCUGCUUUUGGAAGAUGAUACUGCUAUAGAAAACCGUAACUCAGAGUAUCACUCAGUCAUUCAAGAAUUCCGUGCUUUCAUGAGCGACUGCAAGGAUGUAUUAGAUGAGGCAACAACCAUGAAACUUCUGGAGAGUUAUGGUCGGGUUGAAGAGUUGGUAUAUUUUGCAAACCUGAAGGAGCAGUAUGAAAUCGUUAUUCACCAUUAUAUUCAGCAAGGGGAAGCAAAGAAAGCUUUGGAGGUGCUCCAGAAAUCUUCAGUUUCAGAUGAGCUUCAGUAUAAAUUUGCGCCAGAACUUAUUAUGCUUGACGCGUAUGAAACCGUGGAAGCAUGGAUGGCCAGUAAAAAUCUGAAUCCAAGGAGACUGAUUACUGCAAUGAUGCGUUACUCAAGCGAACCUCAUGCAAAGAACGAGACACAUGAAGUCAUAAAAUACCUUGAGUUUUGCGUCCAUAGUUUGCAUAACGAGGAUCCAGGGAUUCACAAUUUACUUCUCUCAUUAUAUGCCAAGCAGGAAGAUGACAGUGCCCUCCUCCGUUUCCUGCAAUGCAAAUUUGGGAAAGGACGAGAGAACGGUCCUGAAUUUUUCUACGAUCCCAAAUAUGCAUUGCGCCUAUGUCUCAAGGAAAAGAGAACUCGUGCCUGUGUCCAUAUAUACAGUAUGAUGUCUAUGCAUGAAGAGGCGGUGGCCCUUGCUCUUCAGAUUGACCCAGAACUUGCUAUGGCUGAGGCUGAUAAGGUUGAAGAUGAUGAAGACCUGAGAAAGAAGCUGUGGCUGAUGGUUGCAAAGCAUGUCGUCAAACAGGAAAAGGGAGCGAAAAGGGAAAACAUAAGGAAAGCUAUUGCCUUUCUCAAGGAAACUGAUGGCCUUCUAAAGAUUGAAGAUAUUUUGCCAUUCUUUCCGGACUUUGCCUUGAUAGAUGACUUCAAGGAAGCGAUUUGCUCAUCUCUGGAGGAUUACAACAAGCAAAUAGAACAAUUGAAAGAGGAGAUGAACGAUGCCACACGUGGUGCAGAUAAUAUUAGAAAUGAUAUUAGUGCCCUAACUCAAAGAUAUGCUGUAAUCGACCGCGAAGAGGAAUGCGGGGUUUGUAAACGUAAAAUCUUGACGAUGACCGGGGAUUUCAGAAUGGCUCAGGGAUAUUCAUCAUCUGGACCACUGGCUCCUUUCUAUGUUUUUCCUUGUGGGCACUCUUUCCAUGCACAGUGCCUGAUUACACAUGUCACAAGCUGUGCACACGAAGAGCAAGCCGAGCAUAUACUCGAUCUGCAGAAGCAGCUGACAUUGCUUGGUAGUGAAACCCGGAGGGAUAUGAAUGGUAAUCGAUCUGAUGAACCUAUAACUAGCACAACUACUGCAGACAAGCUUCGAUCAGAGCUAGAUGAUGCUAUCGCCAGCGAAUGCCCGUUCUGUGGAGAAUUAAUGAUCAAUGAGAUCACUCUGCCUUUUAUUAAACCUGAGGAAACACGACACUCUGCUUCAUGGGACCUCCGACCACAGACCAACUUAGCAAACCAGAGGACCAUUUCUUUGCCUGUUUGAUUUGUGUAAACACCGUGAUAGCUUUGGAGUGUGAAUGUGAUUUCGAGUGCGAAUAUAUUUUCUUCGACAGAGCCUGCUUGCCCCAGCGCUUCAAGUCAUAGGCUCUCUUGAAAGGUUUCUUCUCCUUGGUAAGUCUUUUAUUUGUAAUAGCGAUUGCAAGAUCGUUCGGGAACAAAGUUUGCCAGACAAAGCCGUGGAGAAGCG